GGCGGGAGCCAACAUGGAGCCCUCAGUGGGAUGAGGGUGAAACUGCUAUUGCCUGCUUCUGCUGUGUUCCCGCCUCAGCAUGCUGGUGCAUUUAUUUCGGGUCGGGAUUCGGGGUGGCCCAUUCCCAGGCAGGCUGCUACCGCCCCUCCGCUUCCAGACAUUCUCAGCUGUCAGGUAAAAAAGGAAAAACCUCAGCGCGGGCCAUUGACCGGCCGGCAGGGCGGUGCCGGCCCACCGGGAGAUGGAGUCCACGGGCUUGCGCGAGGCUUGCUGGGAGCUGUAGGCCAGGCCUACCGGGGUGGAAUGUCACUCCGCGGGUGUUGGCCUCAAUUAUUUAUAGUGACACUCCAGUCGCCAGCAGGAGGCUCCUGCGUCUGCAGCCGCGUGUCAGCCAGAAGGAGGGGACGCUCGGGGUACUCUGAUGGCUACCGCAGCUCCUCCCUCUUCUGGGCCGUGGCCCACCUACGGUCCCAGCUCUGGGCCCACCUCCCUCGAGCCCCCUUAGCUCCCAGAUGGAGCCCGUCUGCCUGGUGCUGGGUUGGGGGAGCCCUGCUAGGCC
rnacentral:sRNA from 1 species